rnacentral:lncRNA from 1 species
AAGGUAAAGAGGGUCAUUGGGGUCGAGCUAUGCCCAGAGGCUGUGGAGGACGCCCGGGUGAACGCCCAGGACAAUGAGUUGAGUAAUGUGGAGUUCCACUGCGGGAGGGCCGAGGACCUGGUGCCCACCCUGGUGAGCAGACUGGCCUCCCAGCACCUCGUGGCCAUCCUGGACCCACCCCGUGCUGGCUUGCAUUCCAAGGUGAUCCUGGCCAUCCGGAGAGCUAAGAACCUCAGGCGGCUGCUCCUCUGCAGAGCCCCAUCUAACCGGGUGAAGGGCAUUCCCUUCCGGCCGGUCAAGGCUGUGGCAGUGGACCUGUUCCCGCAGACCCCGCACUGUGAGAUGCUCAUCCUGUUUGAGAGGGUGGAGCACCCCAAUGGCACAGGGGUCUUGGGGCCCCACAGCCCUCCAGCUCAACCCACACCAGGACCCCCAGAUAACACCCUACAAGAAACUGGGACCUUCCCCUCAUCCUAGGCCCAGGACCCAUUAUGGGGACAGGAGCUGAAGGGCUCCCAGGGCCCCAGGGGCGGGGAAGGCAUGGCUUGCUGGCCAGGAUAUUCAGAGGUAGGCAGCCAAAGGGCACAGAACCCUGUGCCCCACCAGGAUUGGCCUGCUGCUAGGGGCCAGGGGCCCUGACCAGGAAGACAGGUGGGUUCCUGUAGCCUGUUGCCCAUCCCCAGGGCCUUUGUGGACUAGCCAAGGCUGUGAGGGCCAGAAUAAACAACUGCUCAACAAA